CCUACGGGAGGCUGCAGUGGGGAAUAUUGGACAAUGGGGGCAACCCUGAUCCAGCCAUGCCGCGUGUGUGAAGAAGGCCCUCGGGUUGUAAAGCACUUUCAGUGAGGAAGAACGCCUGGUGGUUAAUACCCAUCAGGAAAGACAUCACUCACAGAAGAAGCACCGGCUAACUCCGUGCCAGCAGCCGCGGUAAUACGGAGGGUGCGAGCGUUAAUCGGAAUUACUGGGCGUAAAGCGCGCGUAGGUGGCUUGAUAAGCCGGUUGUGAAAGCCCCGGGCUCAACCUGGGAACGGCAUCCGGAACUGUCAAGCUAGAGUGCAGGAGAGGAAGGUAGAAUUCCCGGUGUAGCGGUGAAAUGCGUAGAGAUCGGGAGGAAUACCAGUGGCGAAGGCGGCCUUCUGGACUGACACUGACACUGAGGUGCGAAAGCGUGGGUAGCAAACAGGAUUAGAUACCCCUGAAGUC
rnacentral:rRNA from 1 species